UGUGUAUCCCUACUUUAUAUUUUUGUUACAAAAAUAAAUAAAUCAAAGGAUCUAAUAGCAAGUCAGCAACAACAAUCACGCAUUUUGUCAAAAAAACAAAACACAACAAUCAAGCAAAAGGCAAGACCAUAAAUUUUAGGGUUUGCGUGAUCGUGAUAGAGCGCGGAUUUGUUUUCUAAUUGGGGAUUAGAUUGAUGUUGAAACCAUCGAUUGGUGGUUUUUUAGGGUUACCUAACUGGAAUUAUUGUUGAAACCUGCGGUGAUUGGUGCGGUGGAUAUUGAUUUGGGAUUGUGUUGUUGCUGCUGCCGAAAAAUGGUGUUAACGCGGGUGAAUUGGAGAGAGGAGCAGCAACAACAAAUAGAGGCUGCAUGGAAUUUUGGUGGUCUUGUUGCCGUUCGAAUUAGUGAGAGCAAAUUAGCAGUAGGAGACUUUGAAGUAAGCAAUUUCUACUAGCCGUGGCAAUUUUAAAAUCGUACUCAAGUGGAAACAAGUGGAGAUAAACUUUUCAGGUACUGAAGCAUAAUCAUGAUGGGGCAUGAGAGAAGAGUGAAUCUUGCUAGCUUUCAUUAGGUUACGAUGUGUUUUAUGCUUUAUUUAUUUAUGACAUAUUUUAUGUGGACUAACACAAAUGUUUGGUUUUGGAACGUUUUUGAAUAAGGGCCUUUAAUGGUUCCAAGUUGUAGUUUGAUUUUA